CUCCCUCCCUUAUCUGAUUUGGGUGACACACACAUGGAUCCAAUCCAUGUGGGUGUGCCCCUCUUCUUGGUCAAAGAACAUUGGGUGGCGCUAACAUUUGACACUCCCAUAAACCUAAUCUAAUUAGGUCAAAUUCGAACCUGGGUGAACCAACAUGUGGAGCCCAAUUUGAGCUUACAUCAAAUUUGAUUAAAUCAUAUCUAAUAGGACUC
rnacentral:lncRNA from 1 species